rfam:Clostridium oryzae strain DSM 28571 CLORY_contig000091, whole genome shotgun sequence.
UCUGGUAAUGAUGGAGUAGAUGUUACACCCGUUCCCAUACCGAACACGAAGGUUAAGCUCUACAUCGCCCAUGGUACUGCCCGGGAAGCUGGGUGGGAGAGUAGGAUGUUGCCAGGU